rnacentral:rRNA from 1 species
GAUGAACGCUGGCGGCGUGCCUAAUACAUGCAAGUCGAGCGAACAGAUGAGGAGCUUGCUCCUCUGACGUUAGCGGCGGACGGGUGAGUAACACGUGGAUAACCUACCUAUAAGACUGGGAUAACUUCGGGAAACCGGAGCUAAUACCGGAUAAUAUAUUGAACCGCAUGGUUCAAUAGUGAAAGACGGUUUUGCUGUCACUUAUAGAUGGAUCCGCGCCGCAUUAGCUAGUUGGUAAGGUAACGGCUUACCAAGGCAACGAUGCGUAGCCGACCUGAGAGGGUGGUCGGCCACACUGGAACUGAGACACGGUCCAGACUCCUACGGGACGCAGCAGUAGGGAAUCUUCCGCAAUGGGCGAAAGCCUGACGGAGCAACGCCGCGUGAGUGAUGAAGGUCUUCGGAUCGUAAAACUCUGUUAUUAGGGAAGAACAAAUGUGUAAGUAACUAUGCACGUCUUGACGGUACCUAAUCAGAAAGCCACGGCUAACUACGUG